rnacentral:rRNA from 1 species
UACGGGGGGGGCAAGCGUUGUUCGGAAUUACUGGGCGUAAAGGGCUCGUAGGCGGCCAACUAAGUCAGACGUGAAAUCCCUCGGCUUAACCGGGGAACUGCAUCUGAUACUGGAUGGCUUGAGUUCGGGAGAGGGAUGCGGAAUUCCAGGUGUAGCGGUGAAAUGCGUAGAUAUCUGGAGGAACACCGAUGGCGAAGGCAGGUCUCUGGGCCGCAACUGACGCUGAGGAGCGAAAGCAUGGGGAGCGAACAGG